rnacentral:tRNA from 1 species
GCGGUCGUGGCGAAGUGGUUAACGCACCGGAUUGUGAUUCCGGCAUUCGGGGUUCAAUUCCCUCGUCCGCCCCA